GUGCCAGCCGCCGCGGUAAUACGUAGGGGGCUAGCGUUGUCCGGAAUCAUUGGGCGUAAAGAGCGUGUAGGCGGCCCGGUAAGUCCGCUGUGAAAGUCGGGGGCUCAACCCUCGAAUGCCGGUGGAUACUGUCGGGCUAGAGUGCGGAAGAGGCGAGUGGAAUUCCUGGUGUAGCGGUGAAAUGCGCAGAUAUCAGGAGGAACACCAAUUGCGAAGGCAGCUCGCUGGGACGUAACUGACGCUGAGACGCGAAAGCGUGGGGAGCAAACAGGAUUAGAAACCCCUGUAGUCC
rnacentral:rRNA from 1 species